rnacentral:rRNA from 1 species
GAUGAACGCUGGCGGCGUGCCUAAUACAUGCAAGUCGAGCGAACGGACGAGAAGCUUGCUUCUCUGAUGUUAGCGGCGGGCGGGUGAGUAACACGUGGAUAACCUACCUAUAAGACUGGGAUAACUUCGGGAAACCGGAGCUAAUACCGGAUAAUAUUUUGAACCGCAUGGUUCAAAAGUGAAAGACGGUCUUGCUGUCACUUAUAGAUGGAUCCGCGCUGCAUUAGCUAGUUGGUAAGGUAACGGCUUACCAAGGCAACGAUGCAUAGCCGACCUGAGAGGGUGAUCGGCAAAACUGGACCUGAGACACGGUCCAGCCUCCUACGGGAGGAAGCAGUAGGGAAUCUUCCGCAAUGGGCGAAAGCCUGCCGGAGCAACGCCGCGUGAGUGAUGAAGGUCUUCGGAUCGAAAAACUCUGUUAUUAGGGAAGAACACAUGUGUAAGUAAAUGUGCAAAUCUUGACGGUACCUAAUCAGAAAGCCACGGCUAACUACGUG